AUUGAACGCUGGCGGCAUGCCUUACACAUGCAAGUCGAACGGUAACAGGUCUUCGGAUGCUGACGAGUGGCGAACGGGUGAGUAAUGCAUCGGAACGUGCCCAGUUGUGGGGGAUAACUGCUCGAAAGAGCAGCUAAUACCGCAUACGACCUGAGGGUGAAAGCGGGGGAUCGCAAGACCUCGCGCAAUUGGAGCGGCCGAUGUCAGAUUAGGUAGUUGGUGGGGUAAAGGCCUACCAAGCCGACGAUCGGUAGUUGGUCUGAGAGGACGACCAGCCACACUGGGACUGGGACACGGCCCAGACUCCUACGGGAGGCAGCAGUGGGGAAUUUUGGACAAUGGGCGAAAGCCUGAUCCAGCAAUGCCGCGUGCAGGAAGAAGGCCUUCGGGUUGUAAACUGCUUUUGUCAGGGAAGAAAUCCUCUGGGUUAAUACCCCGGGGGGAUGACGGUACCUGAAGAAUAAGCACCGGCUAACUACGUGCCAGCCGCCGCCGUAA
rnacentral:rRNA from 1 species